rnacentral:rRNA from 1 species
UCCAGACUCCUACGGGAGGCAGCAGUGGGGAAUAUUGGGCAAUGGGCGCAAGCCUGACCCAGCAACGCCGCGUGAAGGAAGAAGGCUUUCGGGUUGUAAACUUCUUUUAUCAGGGACGAAACAAAUGACGGUACCUGAUGAAUAAGCCACGGCUAACUACGUGCCAGCAGCCGCGGUAAUACGGAGGAUGCGAGCGUUAUCCGGAUUUAUUGGGUUUAAAGGGUGCGCAGGCGGGAGAUCAAGUCAGCGGUAAAAUGUCGGGGCUCAACCCCGGCCGGCCGUUGAAACUGGUUUUCUAGAGUUGGGGAGAAGUAUGCGGAAUUCGUGGUGUAGCGGUGAAAUGCAUAGAUAUCACGAAGAACUCCGAUUGCGAAGGCAGCAUACCGGCUCCAUACUGACGCUGAGGCACGAAAGCGUGGGGAUCGAACAGGAUUAGAUACCCGCGUAU